UACAGAGGUCUCAAGCGUUGUUCGGAUUCAUUGGGCGUAAAGGGUGCGUAGGUGGCGGGGUAAGUCUGGUGUGAAAUCUCGGGGCUCAACCCCGAAACUGCACUGGAUACUGCCUUGCUAGAGUACUGGAGAGGAGAUUGGAAUUUACGGUGUAGCAGUGAAAUGCGUAGAUAUCGUAAGGAAGACCAGUGGCGAAGGCGAAUCUCUGGACAGUUACUGACACUGAGGCACGAAGGCCAGGGGAGCAAACAGG
rnacentral:rRNA from 1 species